rnacentral:lncRNA from 1 species
UUAUUAAGCAUUGCCCUGGCCUAAGACACCACAUGGGUCAUUUCUUCCAGGCUCCAACUUGCUUCUGCUUUGCCAUAUGGUAACACGCCGUAUUAUGGAAGCACCAUCAUUACCGCCAUUUGCAGGGGAAGCCUAAAGAGAUAAAUGCCAGCCAGCAUCCCUGUCUCUGGGGCCCUGGAGAGGCCUUCAACACACCUGGCCUCACUGCCCUGUGGCUUCAACAAAGAGGCCGAGCAUCUCCUAUAAACCUUGAGGUCCAUGGAUGACAUAGCGGAAUGAUGGAUUUCAGAAAAGCACACUGCUGUUACGACUCCAGAACCGAUAAGGAAGCUAUGUGUGGAAGUAUGAGCUCAGGUCGCCUUCUGACCCUCUGUGACGGUCUAUUUCAGGCAGUUAUGGAUAGAUAACAUUACAGACACUGGUAAUUAAAACAACACUAAUUUUGUCUCUGUGGUCACGCUUUGUUGUUAGAAGCCAUCUAUCAUGGCCUUCACGCAUCACGCAAUGAGAAGACAUUUGUCUACGUACAUUGUGCUUGGUCAACGGUUUUACGGAUUUCCCCGCGUACCUGGACACCCAGGCACUUUUAAAGACGUACUGCCUUCAUUUCUACUCUAUUACUCUGAUUAAUAAAACAUUUUGCAUGCUUCAUCAAAACACCCUGCAAGCUUUUCACCACAUAUAUUCAUGGGGGGGGAAGCAAUGUUAAUUUCUUUCCCUUUUAGAAAGAAACUAACAACAACAACAACAAAAGAAAUUCUCUUUUGGAUUGGAAGAGAGAAAGAAAAAUUCAAAUAUGGAAAUAUUUGUCUUCCCUGUAAAACAGAGUCCAGCCUAAUGAAAAGCAUAAUAUUAAAACACACACACAAUGCCAAGCAUCUCCUUUAAGGCUACACGUAUUUUUGACUAUAUGUAUCGUUAGUUCUUUUCUGUGCAUUCAUUUGCUUGAUUUAUGGACACUCAAUUUCACUUCACCUUUUAUUACAAGAUCUACAGUUACAUUAAGAGUAAUAGCAAGUCAAAUGUUUUUAUAUUUGGGCAAUUAAAAAAAAAGAAAAGAUCUAUUCCUUGGGCCCUUAUAAGAAAUUAGGGAUAGCUGAAAUGCAAGAUGACUAGUUUAGUUCUGUUGUAAUCAACUAAGAAGAAACUGUAAUGGUGCAUUUCAAGGGAUCUUUAACAAGUGACACAAACAAGAGAAGAAGCAGACAGGACCAUUUAACUUCAAACUCCACCGAAGAGAGCUGAAUUGUAAGCUUCCUACAGCAAGCCCGGCUGGCGGCUAUGUGGCAGUCUUCAUUUCUCAGCGGAAAAGCCACUCCCUUGAGACUCUCCAGGCACCCCCCAACCGCAUUUUUUAUCAAGUGUCUAAAAGACACAAUGAACAAAAACCAGAGCUUUUGAAUACAGAUUUCCAGUAAAACCAAACCCAGCUUGGGUCAGAUGCACCUUUCCAGCAACCACCAUCUCAGCAACAACCUGCCAGCUGUCAACUGGAAGUUCAGCUUCUGGGAACUUCAGCCCCCUUCUCAGAGGAGCAAGGUCCUAGCACCAACAGCACCUGCAGUGGAGCCCAAGUAUGGCUGCUUCAUGGAGAAGAUAUUGAAAUGUGAUCACUGAGGCUCAGUGGGAAUCCCUUUGCUCUCAAACUCCCCGAUGCAAUGCCUUCUGAUUUCAACAGAAAAGCAAGAGGCUCCAGGCACCCCAUUCAGGGACUGCCACCAAAGUACCCGCAAAUCCUUCAUGAAAGGGGAGACAUUGACACAUUCUUUUUUUAUUCUCUGGUAGGUAUCUGUUUGCGUGCAAAUCCGUGAGUGCUUGCAUCUCGUGUAUUUGAAAAUCCUGUUUAAGAAU